rnacentral:rRNA from 1 species
GACGAACGCUGGCGGCAUGCCUAAUACAUGCAAGUCGAGCGAACAGAUGAAGUGCUUGCACUUCUGACGUUAGCGGCGAACGGGUGAGUAACACGUAAGGAAUCUACCUAUAAGCGGGGGAUAACAUGCGGAAACGGGUGCUAACACCGCAUAAUAUCUUCUUCCGCAUGGAAGGAGAUUGAAAGAAGGCUCUGCUGUCACUUAUAGAUGACCUUGCGGUGCAUUAGUUAGUUGGUGGGGUAACGGCCUACCAAGACGAUGAUACAUAGCCGACCUGAGAGGGUGAUCGGCCACAUUGGGACUGAGACACGGCCCAAACUCCUACGGGAGGCAGCAGUAGGGAAUCUUCCGCAACGGGCGAAAGCCUGACGGAGCAAUGCCGCGUGAGUGAAGAAGGCCUUCGGGUCGUAAAACUCUGUUAUAAGAGAAGAACAAAUUGUAGAGUAACUGCUACAGUCUUGACGGUAUCUUAUCAGAAAGCCACGGCUAACUACGUGCCAGCCGCCGCAGUAA